AUUGAACGCUGGCGGCAUGCUUUACACAUGCAAGUCGAACGGCAGCGCGGGGCAACCUGGCGGCGCGUGGCGGACGGGUGGGUAAUAUAUCGGAACGUACCCAGACGUGGGGGAUAACGUAGCUACAGUUACGCUAAUACCGCAUACGAUCUACGCAUGAAAGUCGGGGACCGCAAGGCCUUAUGCUUUUGGAGCGGCCGAGAUCUGAUUAGCUAGUUGGUGAGGUAAAGGCUCACCAAGGCGACGAUCAGUAGCUGGUAUGAGAGGACGACCAGCCACACUGGAACUGAGACACGGUCCAGACUCCUACGGGAGGCAGCAGUGGGGAAUUUUGGACAAUGGGCGCAAGCCUGAUCCAGCAAUGCCGCGUGAGUGAAGAAGGCCUGCGGGUGGUAAAGCUCUUUUGUCAGGGAAGAAACGGUAGAGGCUAAUAGCCUUUGCUAAUGACGGUACCUGAAGAAUAAGCACCGGCUAACUACGU
rnacentral:rRNA from 1 species